rnacentral:rRNA from 1 species
AUUGAACGCUGGCGGCAUGCCUUACACAUGCAAGUCGAGCGGCAGCGCGGGGGCAACCCUGGCGGCGAGCGGCGAACGGGUGAGUAAUACAUCGGAACGUGUCCAGUAGUGGGGGAUAACCAGUCGAAAGAUUGGCUAAUACCGCAUACGAUCUACGGAUGAAAGCGGGGGACCGCAAGGCCUCGCGCUAUUCGAGCGGCCGACGUCGGAUUAGCUAGUUGGCGGGGUAAAAGCCCACCAAGGCGACGAUCCGUAGCUGGUCUGAGAGGACGAUCAGCCACACUGGAACUGAGACACGGUCCAGACUCCUACGGGAGGCAGCAGUGGGGAAUUUUGGACAAUGGGGGCAACCCUGAUCCAGCCAUGCCGCGUGAGUGAAGAAGGCCUUCGGGUUGUAAAGCUCUUUCGGCGGGGACGAAACGGUUUGCGCCAACACCGCAAACUAAUGACGGUACUCGCAGAAGAAGCACCGGCUAACUACGUGCCAGCCGCCGCAGUAA